CAGCCCAUACCUGAAGAGUCCGCAGCUGAAAGGCACAAAGAGGGGAUUGCAGUGGCAAAGCUAGGCUAGGUCUUGGAGGCUGGUGUAAGGCGAGGCGGGUGAAGGCAGGAGGCUGAUGGAGAGACUGGGGGGAAGAAAAGCCGAAAUGGAUUCACGGUGCCUUGGAUGGAGGACGAGAGGGGAAUUGCAAGCUCCUUCAACUCGUUCUGUCCGGUGAGAAGUGAUCAAGCUUGGGCUGACAAGAGGCUCAGGAAGCCCUCACGUUCUUUCGCUUUUUUACCUGCCAAUCAAACCGCUACAAGACAACACCCUGAUCUGGCAUGGACAUGUAAAAGCAAAACUGUAGUUAUGGACAAGCGAAUUCACCAGUAGGGGGCGCACCGGCUACAUCCCUGAGACCAGACGCGCUGAAAAGCCUGUGGCUGCUGUGUUGUCCUCUGAGCCUCUAACCUUUUCUCUUUCCUAAUC
rnacentral:lncRNA from 1 species